CCCAGGGAAAUACUGCAUUUAAGGAAAAGCCUGAAAUAAUGUUGUCGAGUGCUAUACUGAAGCUAUCAGAUUGAACAUGAUGUGUGCAACUUAUGAUUGCAACCGUGCAACUGCUUACUUGGAGGACAGUUGGGUGGUUUGGCGUUAGUUGCUGUUAUCCAGAUUUUGUAUCUUUAUGUGGAAAUGAGUCGUAGCUGGUAGAUGAGAAACAGAGUAAGCAAAUUACGGAGAUACCUCCAGAAGAGUACAAAACGCCACCAGUAUGGAUUGACUUGGAAAUGACUGGUGAGGGUAAAAUAAAGUAUGUUCCUUCUACCCUUUUAUUAUUUGUGGAUAAAAUAAUUUAUGUUCCUAUCAUGGUUUCUUUUUAUUCUCCAAAAAUAGAUUUUUAAUAUGCUGUUUACUGAAAUUUCAGUCCUUGGAGUGAAGCUCCUUAUAAAGGAUGCUGCAGAGAGAACGGCAUGUGGGAAUUUACCUCUUAAUGCAUUUUUGUCUGAGUGGGGCCCUCAUGACACUGUUAAAUCCAAACCGAAGUUAAUUUGAUAUAUGUUGGAUACAAUGGCAGUUCUGCUUCAGCUAUCCAUGUAGGGCGCCCACGCUUCAAUGAUCGUGGAUUGCUUCAACUCUGUUUCCAUCCCCUUUUCUUUCCCUCUUUUCCUCUCCCGACUCUCUCUGCAACCAUCCGUCAAAUCCCCUCAUCCCUCCCUUUUCUCAGCGGUACAUUCCUAUUACGUUCCAACCGUUUCUACGAAAAAGCACUGUAAAUUCGUCAAAAAAUCUGAAACAAAUAGACACGUUUUGAGGAGGACAAAGUGAAAAAAAAAAUCAAGGUGAUUGGUGUGUAUGAUGAGUGCUUCAGAGGUUUUCUACGACCGGAGGUCUCGCUACAACAGCCGAAUCUCCACCGAUCUAGGGUUUGACUCCCUCCCUCCUCCUCCGACAGUUGCCCGAAGUCACAACCUUAAUCAUAGUCACCACCACCGCACCUACCUCCCGGUAAUUUCGUAAUUUGCAAUUCAAUUUGGUAAUUGAUUGAAUCGUGUGUUUGGGUUUAGGCUUAUCUUGCAUUUGGGUUUGUUUGCAGGAGCGGGCAGCUAUUGGGCUCAAGCAGGGUGGGAUCCACCAGGGUUCUAGAAAUAGGGUCGCCGGAAGCAGUGGCACUUUGAGCGAGAGCGAGAGACUUCCGGGGUCUGUCUGCUCGCCAGGGAAAGGCUGCUGAAGAGGCUGAAACGGAUGCCUCGGUUCUUCAAUUUGAUUCGAAUAAUUUUUUUACCCAGAAAAGCAGUGUUUCCUGCUCUCUCUCUCUCAUUUUUGAGGUACAUGCCAUUGGAUUCCGUUUGCUGCUGCUGAUCUGCAAUUGGAAAGUGGAAGCCCCAACUUUUGAGCUCAGAGCUUGAAUUUCUCAAUCGUUCGUUUCUCUGCACUCUCAUCAGUCAUUCUUGAUCCUCUCUCUGAAGAACUGGGUAAUUUUCCAGCUCUAUCAAGUAAUACUCCAUUUAAUUGCUUAAUUGAGGUUUUUUGUUUCUCUUUUUCUCUCUUUCAUUAGUUAAUUGGCUUUGAUGUUGGGCUUAAGUAAAUGGGAAAUCAUUAAUUGGCAUUGUCAAGAUAUAAUUAUGUGUUUUUGGAUUUGUGAAACGAUUUGGCUAAUGAAGAUAGUGGUUAAGAUAAAUUUUUCAUUACGAAAGAGAACAUUGUUCUUCAUUUGCCCACGGUUUUUACUACAAAGUUAAAACUACUGUGUUUUUGUUCAAUUGACUGCAACUCAUGCUGCAGUUUGCUUCAUAAACCUCUACGGUUAGCUUUCAUACAGUAUGUUGCAAGUUUGAGGAUAUCUCUUCAUCUUAAUUUAUGCUCUCUCUGGUUGCUUCAAGUUUGUAAUUUUACGUGCUACACUGCCACUUGAUUUGAUUAUAAAAAUGUAAAACAAAAUCCGUCCAUGAUUUACAAAUUUGUAUUCGAUUGUUGAUGUUUUUCCAAUGUAAGGCAUAUGUUGCACAAGUGUUGUUUGUGCUGCAGGGCAUAUAUUUUGCCGUCUUAACUGCCUACAAUGCAUGACACAUAUUAUAUGUGAACUAAAUGUUUCUUCUGUUUCUUAA